rnacentral:rRNA from 1 species
CAAACUGAAGAUGGCGACCGGCGCACGGGUGAGUAACACGUAUCCAACCUGCCGAUAACUCCGGAAUAGCCUUUCGAAAGAAAGAUUAAUACCGGAUAGUAUACGAAUAUCGCAUGAUAUUUUUAUUAAAGAAUUUCGGUUAUCGAUGGGGAUGCGUUCCAUUAGUUUGUUGGCGGGGUAACGGCCCACCAAGACUACGAUGGAUAGGGGUUCUGAGAGGAAGGUCCCCCAUAUUGGAACUGAGACACGGUCCAA